UACAGAGGGUGCAAGCGUUGUUCGGAAUUACUGGGCGUAAAGCGUGCGCAGGCGGUUUUGUAAGUCUGUCGUGAAAUCCCCGGGCUCAACCUGGGAAUUGCGAUGGAGACUGCAAGGCUAGAAUCUGGCAGAGGGGGGUAGAAUUCCACGUGUGAGCAGUGAAAUGCGUAGAGAUGUGGAGGAACACCGAUGGCGAAGGCAGCCCCCUGGGUCAAGAUUGACGCUCAUGCACGAAAGCGUGGGGAGCAAACAGG
rnacentral:rRNA from 1 species